CCAGUAGAUGCCAUUAUGGCUUUGGCAGGUUUGGUCAAUUUUGGACUUGCGUAUGGUAGCUAUUGCCACAGAGCUAUUGCGUCACAUCACGGUCACAUGUAACCUCAAAGUUGCCAAAAAUAACGGAAUAAAAUCUCUAGGUCUAAGCUGCUGAAAAUAUUGACAAUUGUAGAAACAAGGAAACUGUAACAGUCCUAUACCUCUCUUAUUUAUUCUCAACUUAAUAUUAAAAUACCUUUGUAAAUAGACGACUAUACCACAGGAGCAAACAAUUAUACGCCAAUAAAAUCAGCUUUAACUAAGAGUGAGUAUUCGUAUUCAUUCUUCAUCAACGUAUAUUAAAUAGAAAACUUUAAACCACAUCACUAGUUCUGUAUCAACUGUGAUGUGACAGGAGAGAAAAUACUCUCUUCUUUUGAGCUUAUGGCAAAUAC